CUGAUAUGCUUAAGAAAUCCAACUGCAAGAGGAUCUCUAAUUAUGAUUUAAAAACUCAAAAUACAGUGGAUCUGUUAUGUAAUUUUGUUAUCGACUCAUCGUGCAUGGAGAAGCUCAUUUUGGCCUCAGCCAACAAAGCAUUGUGGCCGUUACAAUUUUAUCAUUAUCCUCAGGGAUUUUCUAGAACUUGGGAAUUAUUUGGACUAUAAAUUGGGGAUUAGCCAC
rnacentral:misc_RNA from 1 species